UAAGUGAAUAGUGAAAUCUGGCGGCUCAACCGUACAGGCUAUUAUCCAAACUGCUGAGCUCGAGAAUGGUAGAGGUAGCUGGAAUUUCGUGUGUAGGAGUGAAAUCCGUAGAUAUACGGAGGAACACCAAUGGCGUAGGCAGGCUACUGGACCAUUUCUGACGCUAAGGCACGAAAGCGUGGGGAGCGAACCGGAUUAGAUACCCGGGUAGUCCACGCCGUAAACGAUGGAUGCUA
rnacentral:rRNA from 1 species